rnacentral:rRNA from 1 species
UGCUUUUUCUACAUCUAGUGGCAAACGGGUGAGUAACGCGUAAACAACCUGCCCUACGGAUGGGGACAACAGCUGGAAACGGCUGCUAAUACCGAAUACGUUCCGAAAGUCGCAUGACUGUCGGAAGAAAGGAUGGCCUCUAUUUAUAAGCUAUCGCCGGAGGAGGGGUUUGCGUCUGAUUAGCUAGUUGGAGGGGUAACGGCCCACCAAGGCGACGAUCAGUAGCCGGUCUGAGAGGAUGAACGGCCACAUUGGAACUGAGACACGGUCCAGACUCCUACGGGAGGCAGCAGUGGGGAAUAUUGCACAAUGGGCGCAAGCCUGAUGCAGCCAUGCCGCGUGUGUGAAGAAGGCCUUCGGGUUGUAAAGCACUUUCAGCGGGGAGGAAGGCGUUAAGGUUAAUAACCUUGGCGAUUGACGUUACCCGCAGAAGAAGCACCGGCCAACUCCGUGCCAGCAGCCGCGGUAAUACGGAGGGUGCAAGCGUUAAUCGGAAUUACUGGGCGUAAAGCGCACGCAGGCGGUCUGUCAAGUCGGAUGUGAAAUCCCCGGGCUCAACCUGGGAACUGCAUUCGAAACUGGCAGGCUAGAGUCUUGUAGAGGGGGGUAGAAUUCCAGGUGUAGCGGUGAAAUGCGUAGAGAUCUGGAGGAAUACCGGUGGCGAAGGCGGCCCCCUGGACAAAGACUGACGCUCAGGUGC